rnacentral:rRNA from 1 species
UGAGUGAUGAAGGCCCUAGGGUUGUAAAGCUCUUUUACCCGGGAUGAUAAUGACAGUACCGGGAGAAUAAGCUCCGGCUAACUCCGUGCCAGCAGCCGCGGUAAUACGGAGGGAGCUAGCGUUGUUCGGAAUUACUGGGCGUAAAGCGCGCGUAGGCGGUUUUUUAAGUCAGAGGUGAAAGCCCGGGGCUCAACCCCGGAAUUGCCUUUGAAACUGGAAAACUUGAAUCUUGGAGAGGUCAGUGGAAUUCCGAGUGUAGAGGUGAAAUUCGUAGAUAUUCGGAAGAACACCAGUGGCGAAGGCGACUGACUGGACAAGUAUUGACGCUGAGGUGCGAAAGCGUGGGGGGCAAACAGGAUUAGAUACCCUGGUAGUCCACGCCGUAAACGA